UCCCUCUCAGGGUCACACCUGGAGGGUUUCCAGUCCUCUACCAGUCUCGACUACGGGAGGGAGAGUCAAGCAGAGGCCUCCAUACCAUUUCUAGUUUGGUCAGUGGCUAGCGAGUGGAAGGCAAUCUGCUACAAGU